rnacentral:ncRNA from 1 species
AUUUAACUACCACCGGGUAGUGAUGCUGAUAAGCAUUCAUUUACACAUCGUUAGGUCUUAGAAGAUGUGUAAAUGAGUGCUUGUUUUUU